rnacentral:rRNA from 1 species
GAUGAACGCUGGCGGCGUGCCUAAUACAUGCAAGUCGAGCGAACAGAUGAGGAGCUUGCUCCUCUGACGUUAGCGGCGGACGGGUGAGUAACACGUGGAUAACCUACCUAUAAGACUGGGAUAACUUCGGGAAACCGGAGCUAAUACCGGAUAAUAUAUUGAACCGCAUGGUUCAAUAGUGAAAGACGGUUUUGCUGUCACUUAUAGAUGGAUCCGCGCCGCAUUAGCUAGUUGGUAAGGUAACGGCUUACCAAGGCAACGAUGCGUAGCCGACCUGAGAGGAUAAUCGGCCACACUAGAACUGGGACACGGUCCAGACUCCUACGGGAGGCAGCAGUAGGGAAUCUUCCGCAAUGGGCGAAAGCCUGACGGGGCAACGCCGCGUGAGUGAUGAAGGUCUUCGGAUCGUAAAACUCUGUUAUUAGGGAAGAACAAAUGUGUAAGUAACUAUGCACGUCUUGACGGUACCUAAUCAGAAAGCCACGGCUAACUACGUG